rnacentral:rRNA from 1 species
GUGCCAGCCGCCGCGGUAAUACGAAGGGGGCUAGCGUUGUUCGGAAUUACUGGGCGUAAAGCGCGCGUAGGCGGUUUUGCAAGCCAGAGGUGAAAUGCCUGAGCUCAACUUAGGAAUUGCCUUUGGGACUGCGAGGCUUUGAGGACUGGAGAGGUGAGUGGAAUUCCCAGUGUAGAGGUGAAAUUCGUAGAUAUUGGGAAGAACACCAGUGGCGAAGGCGGCUCACUGGCCAGUUUCUGACGCUGCAGCGCGAAAGCGUGGGGAUCAAACAGGAUUAGAAACCCUCGUAGUCC